GCCUGGUUAGCUCAAUCGGUAGAGCGUGAGACUCUUAGCGUCACACGUCCUAACACGACGAUUGAUCCAAUCGCAAUCUCAAGGUUGCGGGUUCGACCCCCGCAUCGGGCU